rnacentral:precursor_RNA from 14 species
AACGGGAUAUUGUUGCAUCUUGCUAUUUGAUAACUUACCAAAUUGAGCUGGUGUCGUUCUUUCAAUUUCACCAGACAGUUUUGUAAGUUACCAAAUGGUUGGAAACAACCAGCAACUGCGAGA